AGCUAACAUCAGAAUAGUAGAUGAAGCCCACACUAAAAUGUGAAAGUGAUUGAUGCAUGGACUGGCUUGGAGUGAGUCUCCUUUACUCUACUCUACAAAAGUGGGUGAUUGUCUCUGGAGUUGUCCUGGCCUUUUGGAUCUUCUG